CGGGAGGCAGCAGUGAGGAAUCCUCCGCAAUGGGCGAAAGCCUGACGGAGCAACGCCGCGUGAGUGAAGAAGGCCUUCGGGUUGUAAAACUCUGUCUUCAGGGAAGAAACAAAUGACGGUACCUGAGGAGGAAGCCACGGCUAACUACGUGCCAGCAGCCGCGGUAAUACGUAGGUGGCAAGCGUUGUCCGGAAUUACUGGGCGUAAAGAGCGCGUAGGCGGGAAUUUAAGUCAGGAGUGAAAACUGUGGGCUCAACCUACAGCCUGCUCUUGAAACUGGAUUUCUUGAGGGUAUGAGAGGAAAGCGGAAUUCCUAGAGUAGCGGUGAAAUGCGUAGAUAUUAGGAGGGACACCAGUGGCGAAGGCGGCUUUCUGGCAUACAACUGACGCUGAGGCGCGAAAGCGUGGGGAGCAAACGGGAUUAGAUACCCCUGUAGUCCA
rnacentral:rRNA from 1 species